rnacentral:rRNA from 1 species
CAGCCGCCGCGGUAAUACGUAGGGUGCAAGCGUUAAUCGGAAUUACUGGGCGUAAAGCGUGCGCAGGCGGUUAUAUAAGUCAGAUGUGAAAUCCCCGGGCUCAACCUGGGAACUGCAUUUGAGACUGUAUGGCUAGAGUGUGUCAGAGGGGGGUAGAAUUACACGUGUAGCAGUGAAAUGCGUAGAGAUGUGGAGGAAUACCGAUGGCGAAGGCAGCCCCCUGGGCCAAUACUGACGCUCAUGCACGAAAGCGUGGGGAGCAAACAGGAUUAGAUAACCCGGUAGUCCCUGUCUCUUAUAC